rfam:Clostridium autoethanogenum DSM 10061, complete genome.
UAAUUUCUGAAAUAUUCGAUUAGCUUCUUAUCUUGAUCCUACAGUAUUUAUAAGGGAGUUCAAUAUUUUGAUGUGUAUAUGUACCUUCUGUGAGACCUUUAAGGCAUUUAAGAGAUAGAAACAUCUGUGAGGGCACCCACCUAUCAGUGUGAUAGGUUUCAAGAAAAAAGCGGCGGUAUUUCGGAUAAACA